rnacentral:rRNA from 1 species
GAUGAACGCUGGCGGCGUGCCUAAUACAUGCAAGUCGAGCGAACAGACGAGGAGCUUACUCCUCUGACGUUAGCGGCGGACGGGUGAGUAACACGUGGAUAACCUACCUAUAAGACUGGGAUAACUUCGGGAAACCGGAGCUAAUACCGGAUAACAUGUUGAACCGCAUGGUUCAACAGUGAAAGACGGUCUUGCUGUCACUUAUAGAUGGAUCCGCGUCGCAUUAGCUAGUUGGUAAGGUAACGGCUUACCAAGGCAACGAUGCGUAGCCGACCUGAGAGGGUGAUCGGCCACACUGGAACUCAGACACGGUCCAGACUCCUACGGGAGGCAGCAGUAGGGAAUCUUCCGCAAUGGGCGAAAGCCUGACGGAGCAACGCCGCGUGAGUGAAGAAGGUCUUCGGAUCGUAAAACUCUGUUAUUAGGGAAGAACAAAUGUGUAAGUAACUAUGCACGUCUUGACGGUACCUAAUCAGAAAGCCACGGCUAACUACGUG